CACAUCAAGGCAUGUGCUUAUAUUAUGAAACAAAGUACUUCUUUUUCCUUGACUAGUUUGACUGUCAAAAAUGCAUGACCGGAAGUUUUCUGGAGUAAU
rnacentral:lncRNA from 1 species